GACGAACGCUGGCGGCGUGCUUAACACAUGCAAGUCGAACGGUGAAGCUCCAGCUUGCUGGAGUGGAUCAGUGGCGAACGGGUGAGUAACACGUGAGCAACCUGCCCCUGACUCUGGAAUAAGCGCUGGAAACGGCGUCUAAUACUGGAUACGAGAAGGGUCCGCAUGGGCACUUUCUGGAAAGUCUUUCGGUUGGGGAUGGGCUCGCGGCCUAUCAGCUUGUUGGUGAGGUAAUGGCUCACCAAGGCGACGACGGGUAGCCGGCCUGAGAGGGCGACCGGCCACACUGGGACUGAGACACGGCCCAGACUCCUACGGGAGGCAGCAGUGGGGAAUAUUGCACAAUGGGCGAAAGCCUGAUGCAGCGACGCCGCGUGAGGGAUGACGGCCUUCGGGUUGUAAACCUCUUUCAGCAGGGAAGAAGCGAAAGUGACGGUACCUGCAGAAGAAGCACCGGCUAACUACGUG
rnacentral:rRNA from 1 species